rnacentral:rRNA from 1 species
UACAGAGGGUGCAAGCGUUAAUCGGAAUUACUGGGCGUAAAGCGUGCGUAGACGGUAGCGUAAGUCGGGUGUGAAAGCCCCGGGCUCAACCUGGGAAUGGCAUUCGAGACUGCUCUGCUAGGGUGCGGAAGAGGGGAGCGGAAUUUCCGGUGUAGCGGUGAAAUGCGUAGAUAUCGGAAGGAACACCAGUGGCGAAAGCGGCUUCCUGGACCAGCACCGACGUCAGGCACGAAAGCGUGGGGAGCAAACAGG